GAUGAACGCUGGCGGCGCGCCUAACACAUGCAAGUCGAACGAGUGGCGAACGGCUGAGUAACACGUGGGAACCUGCCCUCCUCUUGGGGAUAGCCUCGGGAAACCGAGGAUAAUACCCGAUAGAGAAGGAUGGGCCCGCGGCCUGUUAGCUUGUUGGUGGGGUAGAGGCCUACCUAGGCGACGAUCCCUAGCUGGUCUGAGAGGAUGAUCAGCCACACUGGGACUGAGACACGGCCCAGACUCCUACGGGAGGCAGCAGUGGGGAAUAUUGCACAAUGGGCGCAAGCCUGAUGCAGCCAUGCCGCGUGUAUGAAGAAGGCCCUAGGGUUGUAAAGUACUUUCAGUCGGGAGGCGUUACCGACAGAAGAAGCACCGGCUAACUCCGUGCCAGCAGCCGCGGUAAUAC
rnacentral:rRNA from 1 species